rnacentral:rRNA from 1 species
UUAGUGGCGGACGGGUGAGUAACACGUGGGUAACCUGCCUGUAAGACUGGGAUAACUCCGGGAAACCGGAGCUAAUACCGGAUAGUUCCUUGAACCGCAUGGUUCAAGGAUGAAAGACGGUUUCGGCUGUCACUUACAGAUGGACCCGCGGCGCAUUAGCUAGUUGGUGGGGUAAUGGCUCACCAAGGNGACGAUGCGUAGCCGACCUGAGAGGGUGAUCGGCCACACU